AAACACCUUCGCAGUCGGUUACAUUUGCUUCAAAAUGAUAUUAGGGUUCUCGGUGAAUCUACGACGUUGCUUUGAAGUCUGGUGUUUUGUGUACGUUCAGUGAUUGCAGGAAUUCCCGAGUCGCUUUUGAGCGAGUCUUGAGGCUGCCAUCAGGAAGAUAUAUAGGGAAGUGAGAAGAAGCGUUACCUACUGAGGAAAGUUCCAACUGGCUAAUCAUGUUUGCUUCCUCACGUACCUCUCUGAACCUGCUGGGGGUCCUGAUUUUGAUGUCAAAGGUGACCAACGCUAGAGCCCAUCUUGGAAGUUGUGAGGACCAUUCUACCGAAUGCUCGAAAUGGGAGUCCUGGGGCUUUUGUGACACGAACCUAAAAUUCAUGGCUCAGAAUUGUCCGGUCAGCUGUAAAAUCUGCCUAGAUCCAGGAUGCUUCAAUCGUAGCCCGUUCUGUGAUUCGUGGGCGCUCGAAG